rnacentral:rRNA from 1 species
GGCCAGACUCCUACGGGAGGCAGCAGUGGGGAAUAUUGCACAAUGGGGGAAACCCUGAUGCAGCGACGCCGCGUGAGUGAAGAAGUAUUUCGGUAUGUAAAGCUCUAUCAGCAGGGAAGAAAAUGACGGUACCUGACUAAGAAGCCCCGGCUAACUACGUGCCAGCAGCCGCGGUAAUACGUAGGGGGCAAGCGUUAUCCGGAUUUACUGGGUGUAAAGGGAGCGUAGACGGCAUGGCAAGUCAGAUGUGAAAGCCCGGGGCUCAACCCCGGGACUGCAUUUGAAACUGUCAGGCUGGAGUGCAGGAGAGGUAAGUGGAAUUCCUAGUGUAGCGGUGAAAUGCGUAGAUAUUAGGAGGAACACCAGUGGCGAAGGCGGCUUACUGGACUGUAACUGACGUUGAGGCUCGAAAGCGUGGGGAGCAAACAGGAUUAGAUACCCCCGUAA